rnacentral:rRNA from 1 species
UACAGAGGUCUCAAGCGUUGUUCGGAUUCAUUGGGCGUAAAGGGUGCGUAGGUGGCGCGGUAAGUCGGGUGUGAAAUUUCGGAGCUUAACUCCGAAACUGCAUUCGAUACUGCCGUGCUCGAGGACUGGAGAGGAGACUGGAAUUUACGGUGUAGCAGUGAAAUGCGUAGAUAUCGUAAGGAAGACCAGUGGCGAAGGCGGUUAGCUGGCUUGUAACUGACGCUGAGGCGCGAAAGCUAGGGGAGCGAACGGG